UGGGGAAUCUUAGACAAUGGGCGCAAGCCUGAUCUAGCCAUGCCGCGUGAUCGAUGAAGGCCUUAGGGUUGUAAAGAUCUUUCGUGGGGGAAGAUAAUGACUGUACCCCAAGAAGAAGCCCCGGCUAACUCCGUGCCAGCAGCCGCGGUAAUACGGAGGGGGCUAGCGUUAUUCGGAAUUACUGGGCGUAAAGCGCACGUAGGCGGACCAGAAAGUUGGAGGUGAAAUCCCAGGGCUCAACCUUGGAACUGCCUUCAAAACUCCUGGUCUUGAGUUCGAGAGAGGUGAGUGGAAUUCCGAGUGUAGAGGUGAAAUUCGUAGAUAUUCGGAGGAACACCAGUGGCGAAGGCGGCUCACUGGCUCGAUACUGACGCUGAGGUGCGAAAGCGUGGGGAGCAAACAGG
rnacentral:rRNA from 2 species